UACAGAGGGUGCAAGCGUUUGUUCGGAAUUAUUGGGCGUAAAGCGCGUGUAGGCGGCUAUGUAAGUCGGGCGUGAAAUCCCACGGCUCAACCGUGGAAGUGCACCCGAAACUGCGUAGCUAGAGUCCUGGAGAGGAAGGUGGAAUGCUUGGUGUAGAGGUGAAAUUCGUAGAUAUCAAGCGGAACACCGGUGGCGAAGGCGGCCUUCUGGACAGUGACUGACGCUGAGACGCGAAAGCGUGGGGAGCAAACAGGG
rnacentral:rRNA from 1 species